CAGUAUUAAUGAACAUAUUUGUAAGAUCCGAUCCAAUCCAAUCUUACAAAUUUUGUGCAAAUUGGAUAUGUUGUAAUUUUAUUUUUUGCAAAUUAGUAGAGAGUAAAUCCUCAUUUAAGAAAAUCAGUAUAUUAUCUUUUUAUUUUAUUUUUUCCCAUGCCCGAAUCUUGGUCUUCAGCAAACGUCACACGUGAACAACCGGUCAAGACGGCACGUUUUAGUGGAUAUCUAGAUGAUAGGAAAAUUAAAUACGUACACCUGCAAUACCGUAAAUCAAUGGAUGGCGUGAUUUCUUUUCGUAAACGGCAAUGUCCAUAUCACGAUCGACACGUACGACCGGUCAAGACGACGUGCUUUAGUGGAUAUCUGGAUGAUAUGGGAGUUAAAAGUGUAUUACAUGUGCCAUACCGUUAAUUAACGAAUGACGUGAUUUCUUUUCAAAAACGACAAUGUCCAUACCAUGAUCGACACGUAGGGGUGGUCGAUUUAGUCAUAGGUUGUGUGAUCCGAUGAUAAAACACGAAGCAUGUGACACACUCAGCAUUAUCAUGUAUAGUAAUUUUCAUAUCUUUUUAAUACAUUGUAUUUAUUUUCCUUUCUAAUCGGCGCGUAAGGGCAGUCGUUCCGAGCCACAGAUGGCUUGACCCGACGACAAAACACGAAGCGCGUGAUACACGCAGCAUUAUCAUACCGAGUAAUUUUCAUCUCUUUUUUCUAUAAAUGUCAUAUCUUGUCCAAUUAAUGCAGCACAUUGUAUUUUUUUUCCUUUUCUAUGUGCACCACCGAAAGAACAUUGUUUUUUCGUUUCUAUCUGCACCGAAAAGAGAGAAGGAAAGGAAAACCAGAAGAAAAGAAAUCCCCAAGAUAGAGAUGCCAAAUCAUUUCCAUGUGGAUCUUGC
rnacentral:lncRNA from 1 species